AGCAUGGAAUAAUAAAUUAGGGCUUUGUGUUUCUUUUUUAUUUGUUACGAAUCUACAUGAGCAAUGAUUAAUUGGGCAGGUUGGGAGUGCUAAUAUUGAUUGGGAAGGAGUGAAACCCUAUGAUCCUUUCAAGAUUUCCAAAAGCGUAAGCAUUCACUAAGGCCUGUUUCUUUAAUCAAGAACGAAAGUUGGGGGAGCGAAGACGAUUAGAUACCGUCGUAGUCCCAACUGUAAACAAUAUCACCUCGGGAUAUGUCCCGUUGACCUUUUCUCUUGCGUUGCCAUGCACCGUUCGAGAAAUCAAAGGGUUCAGAUUCCGGGGGGAGUACAGUCGCAGGUUUGAAACUUAAAGGAAUUGAUGGAAUGACACCACCAGGUGUGGAUCAUGCUGAUUAAUUUGACUCAACACGGGACAACUUACCAGGACAGGACAUAGUAAGGAUUGACAGGUUAGCGAUCUUUCUUGAUUCUAUGGGUGGUGGUGCAUGACCGUUCUUAGUUCGUGGAGUGAUUUGUCUGGUUAAUUCCGCUAACGAACGAGACCUUGACAUUUAAAUAUUGUAGUGUUUCUUAAAUGUUUAAUUUUAGCGUUUUAUGUUUUCAAAUGUAUUUGUUAUACUUCUUAAUGGGACUGCUGUUUGCAUAAACAGAGGAAGUUCAAGGCAAUAACAUGUCUGUGAUGCCCUUAGAUAUCCUGGGCUGCACGCGUGCUACAAUGGACAGUUCAACAAGUUAUAUCCUUGGCCGAAAGGUCUGGGUAAUCUUUAAAAACUGUUCGUACUUGGGAUCGAGUAUUGAAAUUUUUACUCGUGAACGAGGAAUACCUUGUACGUGUGUUCUAUAUUCCCACUCGGAAUACCGUCCCUGCCCUUUGUACACACCACCCGUCGCUCCUACCGAUUGAGUGAUCCGGUGAAUAAUUUGGACUGUGGCACUGUUCGGUUCCUGAACGUUGCUGCCGAAAGUUUAGUGAACCUUAUCACUUAGAGGAAGGAGAAGUCGUAACAAGGUUUCCGUAGGUGAACCUGCGGAAG
rnacentral:rRNA from 1 species